rnacentral:lncRNA from 1 species
GUUGUUUUAGUACAGUUUUAAAAGCACAUCAAUGAUCGUGGUUUGAAAUCUAACAGAUUUAACUUCUGAUUUACCAGAGAAACUUUCAUAUGCUAUCUGCCUACAAAUUCAGAUGGGAGGGGUGGGUGGAGUAAGGGUUCUGAGGGAGAGGGGAAAUGAUUAUCAGAAACAAUAUAAUUGACUCUUAGAGAAUGAAUCUCAUUAAAGUAUGUACCAAUAAGGAUUCUUGGUUGCAGACAACAAAAAACCAAUUAGGAUUAACUUAGGCAGGAAAACAGUUUAUUGGAAGAAUAUUAGAUAUAUCGCUCACAGAAUUGAUGGAAAGGCUGGAGAACCAGCUUUGGAAAACAGAAACCAAAGGAAGCUAGAUGACCAAAACCGUAGCCAACUUCCAGCCUCAGGGAGAGCUGCGAGUUUGUUUACUUCUGUGGGCGGUGAGGCCUCUGAAAACCGGAUUCCAAACACCCUGCUUGUUUGCAUCACUAGUUCCAGAUUCAGAGACUGGUGGGAAUGUCCAACUGACCAAGCUUAUUUCGUCUUGCGCCAGCACUUGGGCUGUCAAGCAUCAAAGACAGCAAGGAUAUGUGACCUUAGCUUCCACAGUAGAAGAUGGGAACAUUUCUCCUACCAAGAUUCACCAAACAUAUGAAACGGGUUUGAUGACUGAGCACCAAAUACAAAACAUAUCAGAGGUCUGCUGUAGUCCAUCUUGCCUCCGUAUGGUUGCAAGAGUCUGCUUAAUUUGUACAACUCAACAUGUUAUUUCGAGGAGGUAUUCCAGGAGAUGAGAUGCCCCUGUCAGACUCCUCUCCCUACUCCUUUUUCCCCAUGGUCAUCAGGGCCAGUCACUCCAGCUGCACCAUAACCACUUUUCUAACUCCUCACCUAGGGGAAGGAGCUAAAAAUGAGCAGGAGGCAAUUCCAGCUUCCAGUACAGAGGAAACAUUGUAUCCCCUUGCACACUCUGGGUACAAAAAUUGGUAUACCAACAGAACCUGGAGUUGUGCAGAUGGACGGCAAGAGCAGUGAAGGGUCUGAGAUUUUAUCCUACUUGCAGCUUGCUUGCUGCAGUGUCGUGGAUGCUGGCAAGAGACCGGAGACUCCUGGGUAAGACACAAAAAUCUUUUUAUUACAGCAAAGCAGUAGCCCAAGCGUCGCAUGUUUGCACCGGUUCCUGGAGCCCCAGUUUCCACAGGGCUGUGGUGGGCCAGAUGACACCCAUACACACAUCGGGUUGAGCGCAGGAGGAGAAUCCAGGGCCACGCAGUUGUUGAGCAAGUAGCAAACAAGCCAGUCUCUCCCCUAGGGCAGCGGCAGUGAAAUGGUAGUAAUGCUCUGGCCGCCUGGACCCACGUAGGUGCCUGUGUUACUAGCUUCGGAAACUGUUGUGUCAGGAGAUGGAUAAGCCUCGCAGCUGGCAUGCUCGGCAAUAAUAUGCAGGGUGCUCAGGACCCACGGCAGAGUCUCUCCCCACAGUGGAAAGCAAAAUAUACGGGCACUGAGUCAGAUGCAACAGCAUAGCGUCAAUCCCUCUACUCUUGGACUUUGUCACUGUGUCAACAAAAGAGAUAUCACUAAAUACUGUUAACUCAUUUGGAGCAUAUGCCGAAUCCUUUACGACAGCAUCCCAAAGUGUGUGUCUCAUCUGGUUCCAGAAGGCAGCCUUCAAUAGGGCUGUCCAUUAUUCUGUAAACCCAGUUGCUUCUGCUGCGAUGGCAUCAGUACCCUUCUUUACCUCUUUCACGGGAAAGUGAGUUCCUGGGUGAGAAGCAAUGUCGUCUGGGAUGCUGUAUAAGCUGUGUGGAGUAUAAGGUAUUCAGUAGGUCCACAGAUGGACUGGAUGAAAGAUCCGUAAGUUGGGGAAAGCAGUCCAAACCCAGAACAAUCGUCUAGUCCUAGAGAAGUAGCUGGCUCCUUCAUUAUCGCAGGCUUCCACUGUAAUCAGACCUGCCACCCAGGCUGUAUAAUCCUGUAUCGGGAACAGGGUGGUCACUGCAAGUGCUAUGCUGGGCGGUCAGUCUCGGCAGGGGAAGAACUGUUAGGAAUACACGCAUGUCUCCAUGCCACGUGCCCCCUCAUUAGUGGGCCCACUGAGCGAGCACAGCAGUGGUGGGGGAGGCGCCUGGCUGAUGUCUCCAGGGGCUCAUUGUGGUAGGCACCCCCACUGCUGGCCUUCAUCCCUGCUGUAAUCCCCUCCCUUUGAGAGUGGCUGGACCUACCCAUGCACUUCUGUCAGAACACAGCAAACGUGAUGGGGUCACAUGGGAGAUGAGGUGGCUUCCAUCCCGAGCACUCUGGUUCUCUCGUCCGUUCACUCCGUGGAAGACCAGCCGCCACGCUGUGAGAGCACCUCUGGAGAAGCCCCGAAGCAAGGGACUGAGGAGCUGAGAGCCCAGAGGAGGGAAGUCCUGCCAGCAGUCCUGGGAGUGGGCCUGGAGGCAGAUCCCCCUGCGGAGCCUGUGCAGGAGACAGAACCCCAGCCAACAGCCUGACUGCAGCCUCCUUUAAGACCUGCAGCCCCAGGCACUGGCUCCUGCACUGCCCACCCACAAACACUGUGAGAGAAUAAACGUUUAUUGUGUAAGCCACAACAUUUUGGUAUGUUAGGCAACAGUGGAUCACCAGCACAGUCACAGGCAACAGUGGAUCACUAGCACGGUCACAGUCAGGCGACAAUGGAUCACUAGCACAGUGACAGGCAGGCGACAGUGGAUCACCAGCACCGUCACAGGCAGGCGACAGUGGAUCACCAGCACCGUCACAGGCAGGCGACAGUGGAUCACCAGCACCGUCACAGGCAGGCGACAGUGGAUCACUAGCACGGUCACAGGCAAGCAACAGUGGAUCACCAGCACAGUCACAGGCAACAGUGGAUCACUAGCACGGUCACAGUCAGGCGACAAUGGAUCACUAACACAGUCACAGGCAGGUGACAGUGGAUCACCAGCACAGUCACAGGCAGGCACAGUGGAUCACCAGCACAGUCAGGCAAGCAACAGUGGAUCACUAGCACGGUCACAGGCAAGCAAAAGUGGAUCACUAGCACGGUCACAGGCAACAGUGGCUCACCAGCACCGUCAUAGGCAGGUGACAGUAGAUCACCAGCACCGUCACAGGCAGGAGACAGUGGAUCACUAGCACAGUCAUCGUGUCCUGGUUAAGAGCCCUUCUGCGACGGGAGCCAGACGUGCGUAUGCUUUGGGGCCACUUCCAGAGGUCCUGCCCCGAAGCGCUCUCCAAACUCUGUCCAUCGGCCGACCGCGUUGACGCCGCCCGCCGCCUCAGCCCGCCCUCCAGGCCGAGCGCUCAAGACAGAGCCAGAGCCAGUGCCAGAGCCAGCCCCGCCUCCGGAGGACGUGCCCCUCGGUCCCCGAGGCCCCGCGCCAUGGGGCCCCGACGCCGCAGCAGCCGUGGGUCAGUGUGGGCAGCAGGCCGCCUCCGCGCACCCGCCACGCUGCAGCCGAGAGCCAGCCACGGGGGAGAGCGCGGCGCGCGCACCACCGCUGCAGCGAAAGGACGCCGGCGCGGAGGGCCGGCCCUUGGGGCGCCACCCGGUCGACAGGACCCCUACGUGACAGGACCCUCAAGUGACAGGACCCUCAAGUCAUAGGACCCCCCACGGUGACAGGACCCUCACGGUGACAGGACCCCCCCCACGGUGACAGGAACGCCCCCGGAUGACAUGACGCCCGAUCUCCUCAGGUGUCCCCGCACCGCAGCGCCGCUGGACUCGAGGCGGCUCCCUCAGGGCGGCCGCACCAGAGCGCAGCGCUCCCCUCUUCUCCGAGAAGUGCCACUGCGGGUCCUCGGCUCCGAGUCGGAACCCGGACACGACACGGGGACACUGAGAUGCUCCGAGACGGGGAACCGGGGAAAGAGCACGCCCACCCUCGCCAGAGGCUCUGCGGGGCCCCGCUGCGCGCGCCCUGAGCGGCCCCCUGGCCCGCGCUGAGGGGAGCGCACCCAGCCAGGACUCGCGGCCCCUGGCAGCGCGGCGCGCUCUCCCGGACCAGCCAGAGCCGCGCCCUCCUCCUUUCCCACAGCCGGCCCCACCCACGCGCAGGCCCCGCCCACACACGGCCCCGUCCCGCCUCAGAGGCCAGGCCCAAGCACAGGCCCCGCCCCCGUCACGGAGGCCCCGCCUCAAGGAAAGCCCGCCCCUCCUGUGGCGCGGGCCCGGGAUACCCUUCCGGGCUGGACAGUGCACAGUGCGCGUGCGUCGGCGCCAUGGCCUCAGUUGGGUUGUCCCGGUUACUCGGCUGCGUCCCGGCCGCGGCGUGGAGAGCGGCAAGAUCACCCCUUCUGUGUCAUUCUUUGAGGAAAACGAGUUCUUCUCAAGGAGGAAAGUCUGAACCUGUCAAGCAAUCCCUUAAGAAGCCCAAGUUACCAGAAGGUCGUUUUGAUGCACCAGAAGAUUCCCAUUUAGAGAAAGAACCACUGACAAAAUUUCCAGAUGAUGUUAAUCCUGUUACCAAAGAAAAAGGUGGACCCAGGGGCCCGGAACCUACCCGCUAUGGAGAUUGGGAACGAAAAGGACGCUGCAUUGAUUUUUAAGCCAUGUAUUCUUUACCUUCACUAUCUGUUUCUGAAUAUGCACAUCUGAAUUAACUGAUUACUUUAUUUUUGUAUAUCCUUUAAGUCAUCUAAUUUCUAUAAUGUGUUUAAAAAUAUAUAUGAUGGCUUUGGAAGAAAAUAUGCUGCUAUAAAUUAGGAAAGGGAAAAUAUACAUUAGCACAUUAAUUUAAAUGUAUUGAGGUAUAUAAGUGAUGAGAAAAGCAAACUUUUCCUUCAUAUUUCAGUUAAAUCAGUUGCUUAUAAAAUGCAAAUGUGAAUAAAAUAAGUUUUUUAUUGAUUGCAUUGCCAUGUGCUAGGUAAUAGUGGCUUUUUAAAUGCGGAUUGAGUGGUGCAUUAUAGUUUGAGGAGACGACAGUAACAUCAGAAAGUCUUUAACUUGGAGCCAGAUGACUUGCGUCCAAAUCCUGGCUGUACUGCUUACUAGCUGUGUUACCUUGGAUAGGUUAUUUAUCUUCUCUGUUCUUCACUAUCUUUAUGUGUAAAUUGGAGAUGAUGCUCAUUCCACCUGAUAGGGCAGUUGAGACGAUUAAAUGAGUAAAUACCUGUGAACCGCUUGGAGCAGUGCAUAGCACAUACUUCUCAGUAAGUGGUAGCUAGCUUUAAACCAUAAAUGUAUUUAUCCAAGUCUCCACACUUCCUGGGGGAAAAGAUUAAGAAACUGAAAUUUGAAAUACUAAAAUUGAAAUUGUCUUAUAUGAAUAUAAUGUUAAAAAUCUUUAGUUGGAAAGUUAGUGAUUAUAUGCAUGAGUGAACUGAGGUGAAAUAGACAUUAGUUUGUGAAACAUGAAAUUCAGGUACAGAGGGCAAAUAGGAGAAAAGCAGCGAUGGAAUGGACCAGCUCAGUCAGUUUUGAUUGACUCAGAAGCUCCUACCGUGUGUCCUUCGGACAACUGGGUCAGAAAAAGUCAAGUCCAGUUGACAGAUGUGGAAUGAAGGAAGGAUGGAAACUACUGGGCUCCCCAAGGCGUCUUUCGCUGUCCUGUGGCCUCAGUCACAAAGACCGAGCCUUCAGCCCCCAGGACACUAAAAUUACUUAGAGAGGGUUUGCAAAGCCCGUAGAAGAAAGAAUGCAGUGGGCUGAUACUAUGUGAUGUGAACUGUAGGUGCAGUAUUAUUUGAGAAGAUUGUACGGAGACUUAUUUAAGAGAAGAAGCUUUUUAAAAAAGUGUAUUUUCCCCAGAUACACACAAAAGAGUAUGGUAAUUGGGACUAGUCAUUCAGUCUUGAUCCCAGUUGUCUCUCAGUCAACAUGUGUUCUUUUAAUUGCAGUUACUGUGUGUGCUGCUAAGUAAUAACCACAUUCCUUUAGAAAUACUCUAUAAUUUAGUCAGCCUUCAAUUGCCCAAAUUAUUGAAGAUUUUUAGUAAGUUAACAGUCCAGAAAUAUUGUGUUAUUUUGUACUGUAUAGCUUUGCUUGUGUUCCACAUUGAUCAUCAUGAUAUGUGAUAAGGACAACUUACAUAUUUCAGAAGCUAACAUAAAAUAUAUAAUAACUGAAGUGUUGUGUUAAGAUAAUAGAAUCUUUAACCUCUGUCAAUAGUAACGUGAUUCAUGACAGCUAUCAAAUAUAUAGGUAAAAGUUGGUGGAAUGAAAACAUACUUGGUCUUAUGUCCAUCAAAACCCUGAAGACUUAGAAAAGAUGAUACGGCAGCAAUGGAACGCGUAACUCAGAUCUGCAGGAAGUAGAGUUGACGGAGACGCAGCUGCUGCCCCGUGGGAUCCACCACCAUGUUCCUGCCGAGGCCACACUUCCCCAGGCUGUUCCUAGCCAAUGAGUGGGUAUGACGGGGCUGCAGUGAAGCAGUCUGAUGGCCCACUCCCCUGCUGGACGACCUUGGCUCAAGGACUCCUCAUUAGCCUGCCCGGAGUUUUCUUAGGACUGUGCUGCUGUCCGAGGCUCUUCCUGCCCAGUCCUCCUCUCCUUCCCUCUCCCUUCACAGGGGUCAGGCUCUGCCUGCUCCUCCCCUCUGGGAUUCACAAAUGUCUCCCCAGUCCUCCUCUCCUUCCCUCUCCCUUCACAGGGGUCAGGCUCUGCCUGCUCCUCCCCUCUGGGAUUCACAAAUGUCUCCCCAGUCCUCCUCUCCUUCCCUCUCCCUUCACAGGGGUCAGGCUCUGCCUGCUCCUCCCCUCUGGGAUUCACAAAUGUCUCCCCAGUCCUCCUCUCCUUCCCUCUCCCUUCACAGGGGUCAGGCUCUGCCUGCUCCUCCCCUCUGGGAUUCACAAAUGUCUCCCCAGUCCUCCUCUCCUUCCCUCUCCCUUCACAGGGGUCAGGCUCUGCCUGCUCCUCCCCUCUGUAGUUCACAGAUGUCUCCCCAGUAAAUCUUUUCUACAUUUAAUCCCAUCUUAGCAUUUGUUUCUCAGAACUGAAACUAAUAUGGAUAGUUUUAAAAAGAACAACUUAUAGAUAAAUUGUCAGAAAAUGUCACACAAAACUUGUGGGUUUUUCUAGUGUAAUCAUAGUUUAAAUAGUUUAAUUUUCCAUUGCUUGGGGAUUUCUGGGAAAUUAUAGGUUGAGCUUUUAUGUACAAGGCUCGCACCAUGGAACCUUGUUCAUAUUAGGCAUUUUGCUGGAAUUGAAUUAUGCUCAGCAUUUUUUCCUUGCUUUGGUGUCAGUUGCUAUGACCUACCAUGAGUCAAAAUAUAACAUUACAUAUUAUUAAACUUGUAAGAACAAACCUAAGCCACGUUCUGCUAGUAAAUAACACAUGUUCUUUCGAUGAAUAGAAUGGUUUAUAAUGAACAGACUUGGUAAUAGUAAUAAUUAAUGAUAUAUCAGCAAUUUUAAAGAUAAUUUCAGAACAGAACAGUAGUUUUUAUAAGUAUAGGAUAAGAAUGGCUGCAGGCUGUUAGUCAGCCAACACUUAUUGAUCAGUUAGAAGGAAAGUAAAAUGAAGAGCGCCUGGCAGGUUUGUUCAUGCAUUCAGUUGAUUCUUUCAUUUAAUCAGUGAUUAUUUGUCUGCUACGUGCCAGGUGUUCUGCUAGGCUUUGGGUGUUUGGUGUUGGAUUAAAGCAAACCCUUGCCAUCCUGGCAUAAAGUCUGGUGGGUUUGAUUUGCACGUGAGAACAGUUCCAAAGGACAGCCGACUGAAGCCUAAAUGCAUUGCAAGGGACUGUCCUUUGCCUCAACCAACCAAAGGGGCCUUCCUAAGUUUGAUGAGACUGUCACUUUCUGGGUUUUUGAUACUAGAGGACUCUUCAGAGACCUGUGUUUUCACCUUUUUAAAUCUAAACUGACCUUGUGUGGGCCAGGCCCAGUGGCCUAGUGGUUAAGGUCAGUGUCCUCCACUUUGGUGGCCCAGGUUCAGUUCCCAGGUGUGGACCUACACCACUCACCUAUCAGUGACCAUGCUGUGGUGGCGAGCCACAUACGAAAUAGAGGAAGACUGGCAACAGGUGGUAGCUCAGGGUGAAUCUUUCUCAGCAGAAAAUAAACUGACUCUGAGAUAUUUAUUAAUCAAGUUAAAUACUCAUUCUGUGAUCAUACGUGUUCUGACCUUGCCAUAGAUCAGCCUCCCUAGACAUUGACUAAGAAGAUGUGGAGUAAGCAGAGUGAUAUAAUUAAGGUUGCUCAAGCCAUUCCUGGCCCGAGAAGAACAUUUUUGGUGCAUCCCUCUGCACGAACACUGGAGCUAAAGCUGCCCCUGAUUUGCCUGAGCCGGGCCUGGCUGCUAUGAAUGAAUUAUAAAGGAAACAACUGAUGGAUGUGCUUUAGCAAAGAGAACAUAAACCAAAAAAGGAAGAAUAAAUGGGAUCUAGGCAGCAAGAGAUUCAAACAAGGGGUGCAGUAAAGGGAAGUUCCAGGACACAGCUGUGCAGCGGCCCCGAGAACAGCCCGUCCAGACCAGAUGUACGGAGAGGAGGGAGAGGAAGUGGGCAGAGAAUGGCACUGUUGGAGAGCUGAAUCUACAAUUCCAUAUUAAUAGGAAGUCAAGACAUAAUUGCUAAAGUUGAUAAGCCCAAGGACAACGAGGUAUGCAUAUUACUUCGAAAUAUGGAGGUAGAACCAACUAGAAGGACUGAAAGUGCUUGCCUCCAGGGGUGAAUUGGCUCGGCAAGGACUGCUGUUGUGCAUUAGAAGCUCUAUUUCUUAAAAUAAAUGAAUAGUUAUUAUUUUAAGAAUUUAUACAGGUUCAUUGGGGAAAUUUAGAAAACAAAAUAUAAAGAGAAAACGAAAUGAUCUGUAAAGCCUUAUACCUGCUCAGCCUUUGAUGUGGCGUCCUUCGUUCUGGUAUUCUGUGUGUGCAUGUUUUCUGUAUCGCUGUCAUCCUAGCAACUUCAUAGCCAAAAUGGUAUUUCGCCAUUUUCAUCUUCACUUUCUUGAUCAUAGGUGAUACUACACACGUUUCCCUGUGUUUAUCAGCCCUCCGCCAUUUUUCUAAUUGCUGUUUCUUGUCUCUUGCUCAUUUUCUGUUGGAUAUUGGUCUUUUUCCUAUCAAUUUUUGUGAGACUUAUGCUUUUCAGUGUGCUUCUUUAUGCUGAAGUUUUU